rnacentral:rRNA from 1 species
GACGAACGCUGGCGGCGUGCUUAACACAUGCAAGUCGAACGGGUCUGCCCUGUUUUUUGCGGGGUGGGUCAGUGGCGAACGGGUGAGUAACACGUGAGUAACCUGCCCCUCACUUCUGGAUAACCGCUUGAAAGGGUGGCUAAUACGGGGUGUUCUGGCUGUGCCGCAUGGUGUGGCUGGGAAAGAUUCACUUUUGUGGUGUUUUGGUGGGGGAUGGGCUCGCGGCCUAUCAGCUUGUUGGUGGGGUGAUGGCCUGCCAAGGCUUUGACGGGUAGCCGGCCUUGGAGGGUGGGCGGUCACACUGGGACUGAGAUACGGCCCAGACUCCUGCGGGAGGCAGCAGGGGGGGGUAUUGCACAAUGGGCGGAAGCCUGAUGCAGCGACGUCGCGUGAGGGAUGGAGGCCUUCGGGUUGUGAACCUCUUUCGCCGGUGAAGAAGGUCCUGCUCUUUGUGGUGGGGUUGACGGUAGCCGGGUUAUGAAGCGCCGGCUAACUACGUG